AAAACCUGCCAAAUAUCGGGUCUGUGAAACCACUGAAACUUGUGUGCCUCAGUCAGACAUUCAUGGCAAAAGUAGGCGUUGUUGCCACAAUCCCGACAUCUGUAAAUUUCCUCAGUAUAAGAUGGUACAGAAUCUUGUCGCUGGAGAAAACAAGCUUACAGCUAAAUUUAACAUGGAAGGCUGAUCUGCAUAUGUGGACUGUGUUGAUGUACAUUCUGACAAGUUACAAUGUUCUGCAACCGGUCCAAAGCAUUUCAAAAAUGAUGGAGUGCCAGAUUUUAUAUAGUAAAUCUGCUUUGAUAAUUUUAACGUUGUAGUGUGCAGAACGCAAAUACAAAUUGAAUUAUGCUUUAA